UUUGCAAGGGGGAUGGGAACGACUUCAAUAUGAGUGCCGAUAGAGGAGACAGCAAUUUAAUUAAUUGUACUAACAACGUACUGAUAGAAACAUUGGUUCUCUUACAAUCAUAUUCGAUGAGGAAUCAGAGUUUAUCCUGAAUAAUUCUCAUCAUUUUGUGCUGAUUCAUUUCCUUUUCAGCACUAACUAUAAUUAAAUAAAGAUGUUACUUCUUUUUUAAUCUGAUUAGUAGAAGGUACCGAAAAUAAUUUGCAUAUCAUAGUAUUGUGAAUAGAAUUUCAUAUGUUUUCUUAUGUACCUGGGUUUCGCGAUUGCAAGCCAUCUUGCUGAAUCAUGAUCUAAUAAAAUGACUGAAAUAGCCAUUUACAUAUAAAGUAACAUAACGUAAAAUAAUUUGCGAAAUAAUCCAACGCCGCUCAGAGUAAACCUAAGAAUAGGCUAUUGCAUGGUUCUCUAAAAAU